rnacentral:rRNA from 1 species
AUGUCCCGUUAUCGAGGACCUCGUUUAAAAAAAAUACGCCGUCUGGGAGCUUUACCAGGACUCACUAGAAAAACACCUAAAUCCGGAAGUAAUCUUAAAAAAAAAUUCAAUUCUGGGAAAAAGGAGCAAUAUCGUAUUCGUCUUCAAGAAAAACAGAAAUUGCGUUUUCAUUAUGGUCUGACAGAACGACAAUUACUUAGAUAUGUACAUAUCGCUGGAAAAGCAAAAAGGUCAACAGGCCAGGUUUUACUACAAUUACUUGAAAUGCGUUUGGAUAAUAUCCUUUUUCGAUUGGGUAUGGCUUCAACCAUUCCUGGGGCCCGCCAAUUAGUCAACCAUAGACAUAUUUUAGUUAAUGGUCGUAUAGUCAAUAUACCAAGUUUUCGUUGCAAACCCCGAGAUAUUAUUACUACGAAAGAUAACCAAAGAUCAAAAGGUCUGGUUCAAAAUUAUAUUGCUUCAUCGGACCCGGGGAAAUUGCCAAAGCAUUUGGCGAUUGACACGUUGGAAUAUAAAGGACUAGUAAAUAAAAUCCUAGAUAGGAAGUGGGUCGGUCUCAAAAUAAAUGAGUUGUUAGUUGUAGAAUAUUACUCUCGUCAGACUUGA